ensembl:ncRNA F15E6.12 ncRNA
GCAAAAAUCGUGCUCAAUAAGACAAGGCCCUACUACAGUCGACGGUUCCAGCCAAAUAAGCCGGCAAAGCAGCUCCAACACCACUCCCACCAUGGCAAACGUCACCGACGGCAUAGGGGACAGUUAGCUGGCACGGAAUACCUAUCAAAAAACCGAAAUCAGUGAAUCGUAAGCCGAUCCAAGACAACUUCAGUCCAAGGAGCAACAGAUGCUUAAAAAACGACAACGUCAC